GACGAACGCUGGCGGCGUGCUUAACACAUGCAAGUCGAACGGGCCCGCCCCUGUUUUUGGGGGUGGGUUGAGUGGCGAACGGGUGAGUAUCACGUGAGUAACCUGCUCCCUGCUCCUGGAUAACUGCUUGAAAGGGCGGCUAAUACGGGGUGUGCCGGCUGGUCCGCAUGGGCCUGGUCGGGAUAGUUUCAUCUUCGGGUGUUUCGGUGGGGGAUGGGCUCGCGGCCUAUCAGCUUGUUGGUGGGGUGAUGGCCCACCAAGGCGGUGACGGGUAGCCGGCCUGAGAGGGUGGGCGGCCACACUGGGACUGAGACACGGCCCAGACUCCUGCGGGAGGCAGCAGUGGGGGGUAUUGCACAAUGGGCGGAAGCCUGAUGCAGCGACGUCGCGUGAGGGAUGGAGGCCUUCGGGUUGUGAACCUCUUUCUCCGGGGGUGAAGGCCCUGUCCGUUGCGGCGGGGUUGACGGUAGCCGGGUAUGAAGCGCCGGCUAACUACGUG
rnacentral:rRNA from 1 species